rfam:Rhizobium oryziradicis strain N19 scaffold3, whole genome shotgun sequence.
GGGUGAUUAGCUCAGUUGGUAGAGCAGCUGACUCUUAAUCAGCGGGUCGUAGGUUCGAACCCUACAUCACCCA